rnacentral:rRNA from 1 species
UAGGGAAUCUUCCACAAUGGACGCAGGUCUGAUGGAGCAACGCCGCGUGAGUGAAGAAGGGUUUCGGCUCGUAAAGCUCUGUUGUUAAAGAAGAACGUGGGUAAGAGUAACUGUUCAUACGUUGACGGUAUUUAACCAGAAAGUCACGGCUAACUAAGUCCCAG